AUAGUAUUUCUAAAAAAAUUAGUUAUUAAGCUGCGUGCGUUAUAUUCGGCGUACUUUAAUAUUUUCUAGUCUAUAUCUAUAAAAAAUAACCUUUAUCAUUUAAAACCUUUAAAACUCAUUAGUUUUAAAAAGGAUUUUUCUUAGACGAAAUAACUCACCUGUCUGUCAUUGAGUGAAAAGAAAAUUCAGUUUUGUAUAGUAUAUUAAACCUGUUUAAUUUUGAAUAGAUAUCGUGACUGUCGGAGAGAGCUCUACACUUUUCGGGUGCUCAAGCUGGAAUGACUGACAAUGGCCACGUUUAUUUAUAGUAGAAAAAUGAGGGUAGUUUGCUUAUGAAUUGCCUUGAAUAUCGUCUCGUACAUAAUUGUUUACAUGCUUAUAAUACUAUGUAUUUAAUCAAUAAUUUUAAUGUUAUGGAAACUGUUAACUUUAACCAAUUCGAGUUAGGUUUAUUGCGCCCAUUUAUCAAUAUUCUGUAAUGAAAAUAAUACGGAUCGGAUUGAAUUGAAAUUGAAUUAUUUGAGAUUGUGAUCGAUAGGAAUGAAAUUAAAUGUAACGAUGGGACGAAAUAAUAAAAUGCUGAGAUAAGAUUCAAGCAACAGUAUGAAAA